rnacentral:rRNA from 1 species
UACGGGGGGAGCAAGCGUUGUUCAGAUUUACUGGGCGUAAAGGGCGCGUAGGCGGUCGUGACAAGUCACUUGUGAAAUCUCCGGGCUUAACUCGGAAAGGUCAAGUGAUACUGUCGGACUAGAGUACAGAAGGGGCAACUGGAAUUCUCGGUGUAGCGGUGAAAUGCGUAGAUAUCGAGAGGAACACCUGCGGCGAAGGCGGGUUGCUGGGCUGAUACUGACGCUGAGGCGCGAAGGCUAGGGGAGCGAACGGG